rnacentral:rRNA from 1 species
GACGAACGCUAGCUGCGUGCUUAACACAUGCAAGUCGAACGGAAAGGCCCUGCUUUUGUUGCUUUCUCUAGUGGCGAACGGGUGAGUAACACGUUAGUACCUUUCCCUUGACUUUGUGAUAUCUUCAUGAACCUGGGGCUAAUACCGGAUUGGAGCUCCUGCUGCCUGGUGGGCGUUGGAAUGUUUGGGCGGUUGGGGAUGUACUCGCGGCUUAUCAGCUUGUUGGUGUGGUAGUGGCUUACCAAGGCUUUGACGGGUAGCCGGCCUGAGAGGGUUACCGGGAAAAGUGGGAAUGAGAUACGGCCCAGAGUAGUAAGGGAGGCAGCAGUGGGGAAUAGUGCACGAUGGGCGGAAGCAGGAUGCAGCAACGCCGCGUGAUGGAUGACGGCCUGCGGGUUGUAAACCGCUUUGGCCGGUGACGAAGAGUGAGUGAAGGUAAUGGGUAAAGAAGCACCGGCUAACUACGUG